GUAGUAAAUGUGAUUGAUGUGGGAAGAGCAGGAGGAGGUGGAGGGGCUUCCUGGAAAACGGGGAAAGCCCCAAUUAGCAGGGAGGUCCUGGGGAAGCCCGCAAAGGGAAAGCACCUGCAGCCUGUGGCAGCUCCUGCCUUCAAAGUCAGGGAUGAGCUGAGCACGUAACCCUCGCUGGUCCCCUUUGCUGACAACUCCCAGGGCUGUGGCUGGACCGACCUUGGAUGAGACGUACCAUGCAGGGUCAGAGAUACCUAGAGCCGGUCACCUGACCUUGCAUCUUUAAUUUGGACAGGAGUCAAAGUGCUUUGUACCAGGGCCGCAACUCUACUCCAUGUACAGACAUCUCGGAUCAGCCAGGAGGCUGCGUAUGAGAUUUUGCCUAUCAGAUAAAAUAGUGGAAGGCCCUCGGCUGUGCAGUAAUGGACUACAGCCCCAGCUGGCAACGGUCCUGUAAUUUGGAGCCGUAACUCUGCUCCGUACCUCCCGUGCCAGGCCCAGCAUGGGUCCCCAAAGCACUGUGGAGAUGCGAGUGAAGGAGAUGCUCGUGGCAAAGCAGGGAAGAACCAAGCGGAGGUCAACUGAGCAUCACUCAGAAGAUGAGAUUUGACAGCCGUGGCCUCAGCAAGACAACCCAGCCGUGCGAGGACCAGGUCCCAGGACUGAAACGCUUUCAAGACAACUACGCUACGAGCUGGGAUGUUCCUGAUUGGUUUUACAUUUCAGCAGCAGAAGCGUUGACUUCUAAAAGUACUUUUCUUCGUUAAAACUCAGUUGUCCCAAGGGCUUCUUGCGCAAAUAGCUGUAUGUCACAAAGACUAUUAUUUGUUUUGUGCUACCGUAGUGACUUGAGCCCUCCUAGGAUCUCAGGCCGUUGCGUCGGGCGCUGCAUGCGUGCAGAAGAAGAGGCAGACCUUCACCGCUGAGUCAGAUCCCCCUCUCACUCAUGCUAGCGUGACACUGAUGUAAAACAGAGGAGAACCAGGCCCGCUUGCUCCAGUAAGAUGAAGUUUGAAAACUUUCACAGCUCACAGUCAUUUCCUUGAAUCAUUUCGACAAAUCUGUCUCUCUGACUAAACUUUCUCAGAGGAAUUUCCAGGGAGAGAGGGAAAGAUCAUCCAGGGCCAGAGCACUUGCCUGAGAGGUGGCCGAAGUACCCAGACAGCUCUCCUAGAACGGAGACUUGCAUUUGUGUCUUCGCAGUGAAGCUGUCGCUUCAGCUUUCAUUGCACCUGCUCUUCACCAACAAUUUGAAAAGCUCCAGGAUGAAAAUAAGUUUUGAAAUCCCAUCUUUCCACAGAGCUCCACUAUUUCCCAAUAACUAUUUAUUCAAAGGGGCUGCAAGCAGACAAACAAGCCUGUGCUGAUGAUCGCAGUAAAGGAGAAGUACACAAGACACUUAAAUUUCAGCCUAUGAAUAUAUGAACUCUUGUUAGUUUUACAUAGGUGAGCAGGGCCAUGAAUUUGAAUUAAACGAUUAUAUGUAGGAAGCUGGAAGGCCAUCUCUAAUGUUUCUAAACUAUCACAUU